UAUCUUCUAGCGCUGAUAGACUGGGAGCCAGCCGGCGCGCAGUGAGGAGGAAGUAGACCUGGCUGAUCUUCCAAGGCCUCCUAGCUUUCGGGCACGGAGAUCGAAGUCUACCCCAAGUCUCCCAGGUUUUCUCUUCCUGUGAUCACCUGGAGCCCAGCACGGUGAUUCUUUUGGUGAAAACAUUUCGGAGUUCCGUGGUCCGUGGCAGGUGUCUAUUCUAGUUUGUCCUCAACACAGUAGCAAAAUAGUUAUGUAAACAGAUUUCGACACAGUGCAAUGGCUGCAACAAAAAGUAGCAUUAUGAGGUUGGAUGUAAAAAGGUAGCAUUAACGACGACGGAAGUUGGAGUUUCCUGCCGGCGGCCACUAACAAACGUCCUUGAACACCAGCUGCGUUAGAGGCUCAGUGCCCGGAGCCAGAACCUUGGCAAUUACAGAAUGAAAAGCAGCCACUGAAGACAGAAGAGACACGGCUAGUGUUUCCUUAACCCAAGAACACAGAGUAAGAAGAGUUGCCUAUCAAGGUUCCUCUCUGCAGAACAGAUUCCCCACUAUAUCAGAAAGAUGUCAAAGAAAGGUUGGAAGACACAGAUAACAUAGUGGUUGAUGGAGGUAAAAUAUUAGAGAAAAAAAAGGGGGGGGGGUCAGGUCUUGAAUAAGACCAUAGGGCUGUACCACAUGAUACUAAGGCACAAUCAUAAGCAAAAAUAGAUGAGGGACAAGCCCAAAAUAGUCUGUGUCAUUAGAUGUGAACAGGAACAUCAAGGCCUAAGUUUUUUUCUGAGGGAAAUAAAUGUAUAAUAUAGUCUCUUUUGUUUAUUAAAUCUAUUUGCUGGAGGCAGGGUGUGUUUGUGAUGUGUAUAUGCCACUGGUCAAAAGACAACUUUCAAAAUCCUUUUUUUUUUUGACCCAGAGAUCAAACCCAGAUUGUCAGGAUUCAUGGCAAGUCUUUUCCUGCUGAGCCAUCUUGUUGGCCUCAAAAGCUUAGUUCUUGACAUUUAACAUUUUAAUUCUUGUUAUUUAAUUGUAUUAGGUCACAAAGAUAGACAUGCAUCAUUUUAAAGAUUUAUUUACUUAUUUUAUGUAUGUGAGUACACUGUCGCUCUCUUCAGACACACCAGAAGGGAGCAUCAGAUCCCAUUACAGAUGGUUGUGAGCCAUCAUGUGGUAGCUGGGAAUUGAACUCAGGACCUCUGGAAGAGAAGUCAGUGCUCUUAACUGUUGAGCCAUCUCUCCAGCCCCGACAUGCAUGCAUCAUUUUAAAUGCUUCAAACCCAAUUCCUCAAGUAACCAUUAGUUCUCUUUUCCUUCUCCAAACUUAGUCUCAUAAAAGAGUCUAAAGUACCCGCUCCUCAUUUUCUACCAACUAUCCUUCAGACUCGGAACUUUUGUUUUUGAGACAGGGUCUUACUGUGCAGCCCAGACUAGUCUACAACUUACUAUGUAGCCAAGAUGGUUUGGAUUCUGGUGUGAUCUUUCCUGCCCCAGCCCUCUCAGUGCUGACACUACAAAUGUGAGCAACCACGCUCAACCAAACCUGUGUAAACUCCCAACGACCAAAAGAACGAGUUCACUCUACUUUUAUGUUCUUGCAAACCUAUAGCAAUGCUACUUAGUUUAAAUCUGUUCAAUAAACCAAAUGUAUUUUGAAAACAAAAACAAAGUUUAAAAAUAAUGCCUACUGAUAGUAAUAAAUGAUUAUU